CUUGCUUCUCUUGAGAGCGGCGGACGGGUGAGUAAUGCCUAGGAAUCUGCCUGGUAGUGGGGGAUAACGUUCGGAAACGGACGCUAAUACCGCAUACGUCCUACGGGAGAAAGCAGGGGACCUUCGGGCCUUGCGCUAUCAGAUGAGCCUAGGUCGGAUUAGCUAGUUGGUGAGGUAAUGGCUCACCAAGGCGACGAUCCGUAACUGGUCUGAGAGGAUGAUCAGUCACACUGGAACUGAGACACGGUCCAGACUCCUACGGGAGGCAGCAGUGGGGAAUAUUGGACAAUGGGCGAAAGCCUGAUCCAGCCAUGCCGCGUGUGUGAAGAAGGUCUUCGGAUUGUAAAGCACUUUAAGUUGGGAGGAAGGGCAGUUACCUAAUACGUGAUUGUUUUGACGUUACCGACAGAAUAAGCACCGGCUAACUCUGUGCCAGCAGCCGCGGUAAUACAGAGGGUGCAAGCGUUAAUCGGAAUUACUGGGCGUAAAGCGCGCGUAGGUGGUUUGUUAAGUUGGAUGUGAAAUCCCCGGGCUCAACCUGGGAACUGCAUUCAAAACUGACUGACUAGAGUAUGGUAGAGGGUGGUGGAAUUUCCUGUGUAGCGGUGAAAUGCGUAGAUAUAGGAAGGAACACCAGUGGCGAAGGCGACCACCUGGACUGAUACUGACACUGAGGUGCGAAAGCGUGGGGAGCAAAC
rnacentral:rRNA from 4 species